rnacentral:rRNA from 1 species
AAAUUGAAGAGUUUGAUCAUGGCUCAGAUUGAACGCUGGCGGCAGGCCUAACACAUGCAAGUCGAACGGUAACAGGAAGCAGCUUGCUGCUUUGCUGACGAGUGGCGGACGGGUGAGUAAUGUCUGGGAAACUGCCCGAUGGAGGGGGAUAACUACUGGAAACGGUGGCUAAUACCGCAUAACGUCGCAAGACCAAAGAGGGGGACCUUCGGGCCUCU